rnacentral:rRNA from 1 species
UGGGGAAUAUUGGACAAUGGGCGAAAGCCUGAUCCAGCCAUGCCGCGUGUGUGAAGAAGGUCUUCGGAUUGUAAAGCACUUUAAGUUGGGAGGAAGGGCAGUAAGCGAAUACCUUGCUGUUUUGACGUUACCGACAGAAUAAGCACCGGCUAACCCUGUGCCAGCAGCCGCGGUAAUACAGAGGGUGCAAGCGUUAAUCGGAAUUACUGGGCGUAAAGCGCGCGUAGGUGGUUCGUUAAGUUGAAUGUGAAAGCCCCGGGCUCAACCUGGGAACUGCAUCCAAAACUGGCGAGCUAGAGUAGGGCAGAGGGUGGUGGAAUUUCCUGUGUAGCGGUGAAAUGCGUAGAUAUAGGAAGGAACACCAGUGGCGAAGGCGACCACCUGGGCUAAUACUGACACUGAGGUGCGAAAGCGUGGGGAGCAAACAGG